GAUGAAGAACGCAGCGAAAUGCGAUACGUAAUGCGAAUUGCAAAUUCAGUGAAUCAUCGAGUCUUUGAACGCACAUUGCGCCCCCUGGUAUUCCGGGGGGCAUGCCUGUCCGAGCGUCAUUGCUGCCCUCAAGCACGGCUUGUGUGUUGGGCCCCGUCCUCCGAUCCCGGGGGACGGGCCCGAAAGGCAGCGGCGGCACCGCGUCCGGUCCUCGAGCGUAUGGGGCUUUGUCACCCGCUCUGUAGGCCCGGCCGGCGCUUGCCGAUCAACCCAAAUUUUUAUCCAGGUUGACCUCGGAUCAGGUAGGGAUACCCGCUGAACUUAAGCAUAUCAAUAAGCGGAGGA
rnacentral:misc_RNA from 1 species